CUACAGCUUGGCACUGAACAUUGACCCUACAUGUGUAGGAUAGGUGGGAGGCUUUGAAGCACGUACGCCAGUAUGUGUGGAGCCGUCCUUGAAAUACCACCCUUGUAGUGUUGAUGUUCUAACGUCGACCCCUUAUCGGGGUUGCGGACAGUGCCUGGUGGGUAGUUUGACUGGGGCGGUCUCCUCCCAAAGAGUAACGGAGGAGCACGAAGGUGGGCUAAUCACGGUUGGACAUCGUGAGGUUAGUGCAAUGGCAUAAGCCCGCUUGACUGCGAGAAUGACAAUUCGAGCAGGUGCGAAAGCAGGUCAUAGUGAUCCGGUGGUUCUGAAUGGAAGGGCCAUCGCUCAACGGAUAAAAGGUACUCCGGGGAUAACAGGCUGAUACCGCCCAAGAGUUCAUAUCGACGGCGGUGUUUGGCACCUCGAUGUCGGCUCAUCACAUCCUGGGGCUGAAGU
rnacentral:rRNA from 1 species